UACGUAGGGUGCGAGCGUUGUCCGGAAUUAUUGGGCGUAAAGGGCUCGUAGGCGGUUUGUCACGUCGGGAGUGAAAACUCGGGGCUCAACCCCGAGCCUGCUUCCGAUACGGGCAGACUAGAGGUAUGCAGGGGAGAAUGGAAUUCCUGGUGUAGCGGUGAAAUGCGCAGAUAUCAGGAGGAACACCGGUGGCGAAGGCGGUUCUCUGGGCAUUACCUGACGCUGAGGGACGAAAGCUAGGGGAGCGAACAGG
rnacentral:rRNA from 1 species